AGUAAUAUAAUUGCGGUAUAAUAAUAUAACAAUAAUAGCAUUACUCAUGACAUGCAGUCAGGCUAUAUCUACCUAGUAAAUAUAUACAGUAUAUAUAGUUCCUACUGUUCAUUUUAAUAUGUAUCUACCUUUAUUUUUUUAUUUAAAAUGGGAAAUAACCAGACUGAAGAAAAAAAGUAGCAACAUUUGCUGCUUGAUCCCAUGUUGCAACACUGCUGAUGGGUUCUUGGGGUUGGGGGGGUGGGUCUGGAGUGGGGGAAGCGCCUGGAUGUAAACAAAGCUGCUCCUGCGCCAUCUGUUGCAACCGACAUACACCAACACCCGCCCACGGUCUCCCAUAGAGGCCCCCUCUCCUGUUCUAUAGUCUCCUUGGGUCCACGAGACCACGAGCCGCCCGCAGAAGGAGGCCGCCCGGCAGCGCCCACAAGCAGCAAUCAACACUGCAGCUUCCGGGAACUUCGCCCACAACUCUCCGGCGGACAGUCAACCAGGGCAAACGCGGACAUCUCCCGGUGACUGCAAGCAGUUACCACCACCGUUACUACAAGGCGCCUUUUCAAGAGGUUACACACCCAGGUCGCCAUAUCUACAACCGCUGGCCCCACAACUCUCAAAAUAACAAGAGCACCGCAGCCGUCCUACGUCUGGCAGCAGUGUUCCGGCACCCGCCCUGCCACAUAGACUAGCCCGACUACAUCGUCAGCAGUUUUCCGCCGCCAUCACGAUUCACCUUGGGGGUCCGCCUCUACAAUCCACCUCUCGACGCCUUUCCUGCCGCAGCCAAGGUCUUCCAACGCGACUCCAAGGCUCCAGGUGCCCCAAGGGCGACGACAUCCUUCGUCACCAGCUCUACAUCAGCUGAAUAAUCUCGAUCAUGAUGUUGCGUUUUCUGAUCAUCUUGUUGUACCACGGCUUGCAACGACACCCAUCCACCUGAAGCCUGGCGCCCUCACGGCACACAUAGGAGAGGUCUUCCUCAUAGAAGAUGUGCUCCUCGUGAAAUAUCCAUAUACUUCCUUGACCAACACCACAGACAUAAUCAGGAUAGUCUCAGACAAACUACUCGGCAUGGCAGACGCCAUACGGGCAACCAAGACUAGGGAAUCAAAGGCACCUUCUAGUACCAACUCUCUGAAUCUUUUUCAACUACUGGAGGAUAGGAUUCUGUUCUUACGGGGAAAAGUUGAUGAAGUAGACAUGGAUUAUAGUUUUCACUCAGUUCACUCUCGGGUAAAGAGGGGGUUGCUCAACAUAGUUGGGUCCGCCUCAAAGUUCCUCUUCGGUACGGCAACCGACGAGGACGUGCGCGAUUUGCGGGACCGCUACAAUCAUGUACUUUCCUUUGCUGCCCGAAAUCGCAGGGUGAUCAACGCAAAUUGUAGAAAACUUGCGCGAUUGCAUACUCUCAUUGAGGAACUGCUAGAGCAAACGAAUAAGAUGGUAGAAGUUAUCAACAUAGUUGUCAAGCAGAUCGACCAGGUGAAUCAGUUUCUCCUCCUAGAUCAGGCCUUGCAUGUGCUGGAAAACGUCAUUAACUCUGUCGCAACGGCAAACCAGCAGGUUAUUAGCAACAUGGUAGAUGCAACGCACGGUAGAGUCACACCUGCCUUGUUCCCUCUGCACGAUUUGAGAACGACUAUCCAUAUCGGGUAUCAAAAUUAUGGUCUCAAGCCUUUGUUCAACCCAGACAUGAGUCAAUAUUUUUACCCCUUGAUUGAGUCCACACUCACGCCAGAUGCCAUAAUCUUUCAUGUUCCGUUUCAGACGGCGGACGUGUUUGAGCCCAUGAAAUUGUUCCAUUUCCCUUCUCCGCGAAGGACAGUGUGUUAGCCCUGGACACAUCCCCGUCUCUUGUCUUAAUCGCGAAGGAUUUUGGUCUGUAUUCAACGGGUAGCUUCUCACUCUUGCAGUAUUGCAAGGAGACGGUCUUCAGGCGAUUCUAUUGCUCUGCGUCUCUUUUUGCCUUCCUACCGGUUCGGGGAGGAAUGUGCAAGAUCGCCCUCACCCGGGUAAACGCGUCUGACGCUCUUUCCCUGUGCCCUUACAAGCACUUACCCCCAACACCUGUUUUCCAUAAGAACUUUCAGGGUCUACAUUAUUUCUAUUUUCCUCAGUCCUUCUAUGUAUCAGUAAUCUGCCCGGAGGGUACCACUUAUCAACGGGUUACUGGUCACUAUGCCAUAGCGGAAGCAUGCUAUAUCCGCUCCACUAACAUAACAACGUACCCGUCCCGGAUCCGUCUGGUUUUCACGGCCAAUAUUUCCCAUCGAGUGUUUCCUCUGCGGUCUCUCGAUAACAUUCACUUCUCCAGCAUCUCUUAUGUGACUAAUUCCCUUCAUUCAUUGUCUUUUGCAAACGAAACAGAGUUUGCAGAAACCCUGGAGGAAACGCUGCCUGAAUACUUGUACCCUGGAAUUUUUGUGCCAAUGUUCCUGAUGUUCGUCAGUCUCGUCGUCAUGUGCUACCUUAUUAGGAGGAACUCUGUUCUGCACGAUUAUUUGUUUGUUCAAACAAGGCGACAGGAUGCAAGGAAGCCACUGGCUAGGUAGUUUUUUUUUUCUCACGCAAGAAGAAAGGCAAGAAAUGUGUCAUUUCUCCUGCUCCUGUACCUUAACAUUGUACUGUGUUCCCACCUUUUGUUGUUCUUAUUAUGAGUUUUUGGAAGCUGGAUGAGCAUUUCAUGUUCUGUAACAAUGCCACUUGUCAACUACAGAUACUUGUAUCUUUAUAUUUAUCCCUUGAGAGAUUUUUUCUAUGAUUUAUAUCGCACCCGCUGGUGUUACCUCGUAUUAUUUAUGUCAUUACUACACGAGUAUUCCUGCUUAACCAUUGUUUUAAUAUACUUGUACCAUAAGCAGUCUGCUCAAUAUGAUCACACUAUGUCUGGUCCACUACUAAUUAGAUUUUUUUUUUUUUUUUUUUUUUGUAUGUCGCGAGGUCGCGAUCAAUGGUAGGUGACCGAGCAGUGUUAUAGUAAUUGUAGUAUAUCAGUGUGUUAUUAUUAUUAUUACUACUUAAUAUCACCACGAAUUAGGCAUGCAAUAUCAAUGGAAAAAACCCACGACAGAUAGAUCACGCCACUUUGUAGGAAUGUCAGCUGUCAGUGUUUACCGUCUCAGUUUGUAUACAAAGCAUUUCAUCAAGCUUAGAGGUCACCUUGACAGACGUGACCAAUUGUAACUUCAUUAUUUUCCAAUCUGUAAUUCGUCACUCCUUCGAGAGAGCUCGACCGACACACACCUAUUGUCUCGUCUCUCUCACCAACGCUUCGCUGUAUCUUAUGUUAAGAAUAUAUUUCUUCUAAGGCA